UGUUCACGCCCUUGACUACGUCAUGGGAAGAGAAUGAAGCAUUAAGAUAUGUAGCUGGAUAUUUGAUUCAUGCAAGCGAGGACGCUAAUCUAAAAAGUAUUGAAGAAACAGAAAACAAAGAUGGAUGGAUAGAAAUACUGAGUCGCGGAAAAUUGACUGUCCCGUCAUCAAAAUUUGUGAAAACUGUACAGCAUGCUGAAGAAAUAUUUAAAACACAUCACGGGUUAGGAUUACAGAACGGAAAAGGUGUUGUGCGAAACUUUUUCGUGAAACUAGUAGAACAUUUUCCAGAUGUUAACAAAAAAGUUUUAAUGAAGUUUGCAAGAACCAGAACUUUUAUUAGACUUCGGCAUUUAAAUCGUCAAGCAAAAAUUGCAAGCACGGAAAAGAAAAGGCAGAAGAAGCUUGCACAGCUUGUUCAGAAAACCAGAAAUUAAGCUGAGAGCUCAGCUGGCCGGUUCCUGCGCCGCAGUGACGUCACGAGCAGCCCUUGGAAGUACCGUUACUCAAACCGGCCCUCUCGGGCCAACCUCCUUCUCUACCA